rnacentral:rRNA from 1 species
UACGGAGGGUGCAAGCGUUGCUCGGAAUUAUUGGGCGUAAAGGGUAUGUAGGUGGUCUCAUUUGUCUGGGGUGAAAGCCUUGAGCUUAACUCAAGAAGUGCCCCAGAAACGGUGAGACUAGAGUCUUGGAGAGGGUCGUGGAAUUCCCGGUGUAGCGGUGAAAUGCGUAGAGAUCGGGAGGAACACCAGAGGCGAAAGCGGCGACCUGGACAAGCACUGACACUCAACUACGAAAGCGUGGGGAGCAAACAGG